rnacentral:rRNA from 1 species
GACGAACGCUGGCGGCGUGCUUAACACAUGCAAGUCGAACGGAAAGACCCUGCUUUUGUGGGGUGCUCGAGUGGCGAACGGGUGAGUAACACGUGAGUAACCUGCCCUUGACUUUGGGAUAACUUCAGGAAACUGGGGCUAAUACCGGAUAGGAGCUCCUGCUGCAUGGUGGGGGUUGGAAAGUUUCGGCGGUUGGGGAUGGACUCGCGGCUUAUCAGCUUGUUGGUGGGGUAGUGGCUUACCAAGGCUUUGACGGGUAGCCGGCCUGAGAGGGUGACCGGCCACAAUGGGACUGAGAUACGGCCCAGACUCCUACGGGAGGCAGCAGUGGGGAAUAUUGCACAAUGGGCGGAAGCCUGAUGCAGCAACGCCGCGUGCGGGAUGACGGCCUUCGAGUUGUAAACCGCUUUCGCCUGUGACGAAGCGUGAGUGACGGUAAUGGGUAAAGAAGCACCGGCUAACUACGUG